UGAGUUCUAAAACACCCAGAAUCCUUGUUGGCACAUUUCACGUUUGUAGACCAGCACCACUACGGUCCGUUACAGCGCAUUAGAUUUCAUCGGGUCUGUUUUUUUAGUCCAACCUCCAGAACAGGCCUUUUGGGUUAUAUGACAAAACCUUUUCUAAUCGUUGUUGAAGCGUUUGGUUUUCACUGACCUGCUCUCUUUUGUGUCUGUUUCAGUGCCAGCGAUGCUGUGAAAGGAGAAGGUUUACCUGAAGGUGUUGAUUGGCUGCAAGAUCAAAUCAGAACGAUGAGAACCUGAGAGGUUGAGAGAACGAGGAGGGGGGAAAUGCCAUCGUCUGGGUGGCGUCAUGGCAACACUGGAGUCCCUCGGCCGUUGACCCCCCAAUGGUGUAAAUUCUCAACAUGACUCCUACCACCAUCCAACCAUACACACACACACGCCUCAGAAGAGUUGGAGCCAGCUAUGACCUCCGACCUUUAAAGAUCAACCAGUCUGGAUGGAGGACUAGCCUUUCCAACGGCCCCUGGAAAUAGAUAGUCUUUUCUUCAGAUCAUUCACACAUCUUCCCACCAGUUUCUCUGUUCACCCUCAUCUCAAAUGACCCAAUAAACCAGUUUUAAAUGGA